ensembl:lncRNA
CCUCGCAGUCUUCUUCAGGGUGACUCACCGCAAGUUGAGAGAGGGAUGUCUCUUUUUGCCGGGAAACGGAACCACUGCUUAUUUUUCAAGUCAAGUCUCCCCAGUCUCCACAUCCUCAACGUUCAUGCUGGUCUUCCUGCUGAAAUCAUCGAUCAAUUCCAGUCUUGGGCUCACUCUCCCACGACGCUGCACGGCGGCAUGCGGGGCCACAUCUUAUUCACCUGUUGUUACAGCUGACAUUGUUAUCAAGUAAAGUAGUUCACGCGCUGCCUUUUUUCCGGUAUAAGCUUCAAAAGAGGUUACUAGCUCGUUUCCCAGAGAUGUCCUCAUAGCCAAACAUUUUGCAGCCACUUUCUCAUAAGACCAAAGAAAAACAAAGUUGAAGUUAGUAUUUGUUUCAACUAAGUACCAUGGGAAAUACAGAAACGACCGUCUGACUGUCCGUCUGCCGACAUUACAAGUAGCCCAUUACAUCACGUGGAGUCCAUGUCCUCAGGAGAAGGAUUGAAAACUGUUCCAAGGUCCCAACUUGGCACACAUUGACUGCGCCUCUGGCUCAGCUGUCUGUGAGACGGUCCCUGCCCUUGACCGUCCCACUCCAUUCAGCCGCGUCUAGGCAGAACACACGGUGCAAUCGUGUACGCUCCACAAUGGUCUGGGGGCUGAGAGCCACAUUGUGGCGGGGCUAGUGACAGGCUGUCAGUCUGCUCGCCGCGCAGCAACAAGAGGAAGCAAGAGGCUGCGAGAAAACCCCCCGAAGACACGAUGACUCCGGCGCUGCCACCGCUGGACUCUUUGAAUGGAAGGAGAGAUACUGUGAGGAGAAGUAUUGUGGAAUACCUUCCCCGCCGCACACUCUUCAAGGGUCGUGUGCGUGUCCCCCUUUGGGUCAAACGGAGUCCAAAGCCGUCGAGGGCCAGCUCGUUCCGAGUGCUGAGUGGUGGACGCGGCGGCACCAGGUGUUUACCUGCCCUGCUAUGAAGUCUGGUCAUUACCGGAUCCAGCUUAUGAUUAUUGAUUAUCUUCCUGGUUCACGUCAGGCUUUAGUCCUCGCCGCUCUUUUGUUGUUUGGAUAGGAGAAAAAAAAAAAACAGGGGACAUUGUGUCGGUGAAUAGGCUGGCAGCCGGGCCAAACAAGGUCAGAGCAUCAGAGUACUGAACCGCGCUUUUAUAUGCCAAGAUCUGCUCCGGAGGAUGAAUUUGAAACGAGCCCCUUUGUAUCUAUGCGGGAAUAUUCAGCGCGAGACAAUGGCCGCCUGUUCUCCUCACUAAUGAGUGGACAAGGUGAGAGUCCCAGCCAGAAAGGUGGACAUCUGUGGUUAUUCAGCCCUCACGGCGGCAGAAUAGGAUCCUUUCCUUACAAGGAUUAUCAGGAUUAUCAGCACACACUAACACACACAGGGUUUCAAUGGGCCAGUCACGGUGAUAAGGGGUGACAUAAGAGCCCAGAUAAAGAUAAAUGCCUGGGCUUAGUUUUUUGUGUUAAUUAUGUAAUAAAGACAUGAAUGAAAAAAG